AAUUCUAUCAUUUUUAUUUUAGACUCCCAUACCACCUUAACAUCCUUGUCUCUGGUAGAUAGUUUGUCACCUUAGCAAUCAUACCACAUCUUCUGAGUUUUAUAUGGUAUCAUUGUCUCAUGCUUACUAGGAGUAUUAAAGUUUUGUAGUUUGAGAAAAAUUUCCCUUCCAAAUCUAAUAAUCUUCUUUUAUCACUACUAGGG
rnacentral:lncRNA from 1 species